UACGUAGGGUGCGAGCGUUGUCCGGAAUUAUUGGGCGUAAAGGGCUCGUAGGCGGUUUGUCGCGUCGGGAGUGAAACCUUGGGCUUAACUCAGGGCUUGCUUUCGAUACGGGCAGACUAGAGGUAUGCAGGGGAGAACGGAAUUCCUGGUGUAGCGGUGAAAUGCGCAGAUAUCAGGAGGAACACCGGUGGCGAAGGCGGUUCUCUGGGCAUGAUCUGACGCUGAGGAGCGAAAGUGUGGGGAGCGAACAGG
rnacentral:rRNA from 1 species